rnacentral:rRNA from 1 species
GUCGUGCGAGAAGGAGGCUUCGGUCUCUGAGUAGAGCGGCGCACGGGUGAGUAACGCGUGGAUGAUCUACCCUUGAGUUCGGGAUAACGGUGCGAAAGCGCCGCUAAUACCGUAUAACAAUCCAUUUCAUCGUGGGUUCAAAGCAGGCCUCUUCAUGAAAGCUUGCGCUUGGGGAUGAGUCCGCGUCCCAUUAGCUUGUUGGCGGGGUAACGGCCCACCAAGGCAACGAUGGGUAGCUGGUCUGAGAGGAUGAUCAGCCACACUGGAACUGAAACACGGUCCAGACUCCUACGGGAGGCAGCAGUGGGGAAUAUUGCGCAAUGGGGGAAACCCUGACGCAGCGACGUCGUGUGAGGGAAGAAGGCCUUCGGGUCGUAAACCUCUGUCAGAAGGGAAGAACAUCCGGGAGUCGAACAGCCUCCCGGCCUGACGGUACCUUCAGAGGAAGCGCCGGCUAACUCCGUGCCAGCAGCCGCGGUAAUACGGAGGGCGCAAGCGUUAAUCGGAAUCACUGGGCGUAAAGCGUGCGUAGGCUGCUUGAUAAGUCAGACGUGAAAUCCCUCGGCUCAACCGGGGAACUGCGUUUGAUACUGUCGAGCUAGAGUCCUGGAGAGGGUGGCGGAAUUCCUGGUGUAGGAGUGAAAUCCGUAGAUAUCAGGAGGAACACCGGUGGCGAAGGCGGCCACCUGGACAGGUACUGACGCUGAGGUACGAAAGCGUGGGGAGCAAACAGGAUUAGAUACCCUGGUAGUCCACGCGGUAAACGAUGGAUGCUAGGUGUCGGGGAGCGAUCUUCGGCGCCGCAGCUAACGCAUUAAGCAU